GAUAAUGUGCCUGAAUAAAGGGCUAUUUUGAUAGAAUAGAUUAUGUAAUGCUACCGUUAUCU
rnacentral:tRNA from 1 species